GACGAACGCUGGCGGCGUGCCUAACACAUGCAAGUCGAACGGAAAGGCCCUGCUUUUGUGGGGUGCUCGAGUGGCGAACGGGUGAGUAACACGUGAGUAACCUGCCCUUGACUUUGGGAUAACUUCAGGAAACUGGGGCUAAUACCGGAUAGGAGCUCCUGCUGCAUGGUGGGGGUUGGAAAGUUUCGGCGGUUGGGGAUGGACUCGCGGCUUAUCAGCUUGUUGGUGGGGUAGUGGCUUACCAAGGCUUUGACGGGUAGCCGGCCUGAGAGGGUGACCGGCCACAUUGGGACUGAGAUACGGCCCAGACUCCUACGGGAGGCAGCAGUGGGGAAUAUUGCACAAUGGGCGGAAGCCUGAUGCAGCAACGCCGCGUGCGGGAUGACGGCCUUCGGGUUGUAAACCGCUUUCGCCUGUGACGAAGCGUGAGUGACGGUAAUGGGUAAAGAAGCACCGGCUAACUACGUGCCAGCAGCCGCGGUGAUACGUAGGGUGCGAGCGUUGUCCGGAUUUAUUGGGCGUAAAGGGCUCGUAGGUGGUUGAUCGCGUCGGAAGUGUAAUCUUGGGGCUUAACCCUGAGCGUGCUUUCGAUACGGGUUGACUUGAGGAAGGUAGGGGAGAAUGGAAUUCCUGGUGGAGCGGUGGAAUGCGCAGAUAUCAGGAGGAACACCAGUGGCGAAGGCGGUUCUCUGGGCCUUUCCUGACGCUGAGGAGCGAAAGCGUGGGGAGCGAACAGGCUUAGAUACCCUGGUAGUCCACGCUGUAAACGGUGGGUACUAGGUGUGGGGUCCAUUCCACGGGUUCCGUGCCGUAGCUAACGCUUUAAGUACCCCGCCUGGGGAGUACGGCCGCAAGGCUAAAACUCAAAGGAAUUGACGGGGCCCCGCACAAGCGGCGGAGCAUGCGGAUUAAUUCGAUGCAACGCGUAGAACCUUACCUGGGUUUGACAUGGAUCGGGAGUGCUCAGAGAUGGGUGUGCCUCUUUUGGGGUCGGUUCACAGGUGGUGCAUGGCUGUCGUCAGCUCGUGUCGUGAGAUGUUGGGUUAAGUCCCGCAACGAGCGCAACCCUUGUUCACUGUUGCCAGCACGUUAUGGUGGGGACUCAGUGGAGACCGCCGGGGUCAACUCGGAGGAAGGUGGGGAUGACGUCAAGUCAUCAUGCCCCUUAUGUCCAGGGCUUCACGCAUGCUACAAUGGCUGGUACAGAGAGUGGCGAGCCUGUGAGGGUGAGCGAAUCUCGGAAAGCCGGUCUCAGUUCGGAUUGGGGUCUGCAACUCGACCUCAUGAAGUCGGAGUCGCUAGUAAUCGCAGAUCAGCAACGCUGCGGUGAAUACGUUCCCGGG
rnacentral:rRNA from 1 species